GACGAACGCUGGCGGCGUGCUUAACACAUGCAAGUCGAACGGAAAGGCCCUGCUUUUGUGGGGUGCUCGAGUGGCGAACGGGUGAGUAACACGUGAGUAACCUGCCCUUGACUUUGGGAUAACUUCAGGAAACUGGGGCUAAUACCGGAUAGGAGCUCCUGCUGCAGGGUGGGGGUUGGAAAGUUUCGGCUGUGGGGGAUGGACUCGCGGCUUAUCAGCUGGUUGGUGGGGUAGUGGCUUACCAAGGCUUUGACGGGUAGCCGGCCUGAGAGGGGGACCGGGCACAUUGGGACUGCGAUACGGAGCAGACUGCUACGGGAGGCAGUAGUGGGGAAUAUUGCACAAUGGGCGGAAGCCUGAUGAAGAAACGCUGCGUGCGGGAUGACGGCCUUCGGGUUGUAAACCGCUUUCGCCUGUGACGAAGCGUGAGUGACGGUAAUGGGUAAAGAAGCACCGGCUAACUACGUG
rnacentral:rRNA from 1 species